rnacentral:rRNA from 1 species
UACGUAGGGUGCAAGCGUUGUCCGGAAUUAUUGGGCGUAAAGAGCUCGUAGGCGGUUUGUCGCGUCGGCUGUGAAGACCUGGGGCUCAACCCCGGGCCUGCAUUCGAUACGGGCAGACUAGAGUUCGGUAGGGGAGUCUGGAAUUCCUGGUGUAGCGGUGAAAUGCGCAGAUAUCAGGAGGAACACCGGUGGCGAAGGCGGGACUCUGGGCCGAUACUGACGCUGAGGAGCGAAAGCGUGGGGAGCAAACAGG